AUGCUAAAAGUAGGUCCAGGAGGCAAAGCUGGUGAUCCAAGAAAAAUGACUGAUGGAGAUGUAAACAAGAAACCUGGGAGAUGGCCCGCGGCUGAGCGGGAGGAGCAGGAGGAGAAGGGGGAGGAGGGGGAGCGGCCAUGCUCCCAGCAGCACAGACAGAGGGGUGGGGUCCCCGCGACCAGUGGCGCGCACGGCUCUGGGGCCCUCACCCUCGUGGAGGCCGCCAGGCGAUCCCUCUGCCUGCUUGCAAGCCCGGGAGGUGUAGGCACCUUCCCCAUGUGGGCCUUCUUGUGCAUUUCCGUGGCCCCGAGCAUCGACCAGGACGCAAGACAAAAGGAGCGGGCUGUGGCAUGGUGUAAGAAAGGUAUGGAAGAACUAGAAAAAGGAACUGCUGUCAGAGUUACAGGACAAGGUGAAAGGUGUGAAAGAGCUAAACGCCUUCAGUCUAAAGGGAUGACUACUUUGAUUGUGACCAAGGACCGUAUACAAGUUCUAGAGACGAUGCAGCCAGUUUUGCCAUUUUCCAAGUCACAAACGGAUGUUUAUAAUGACAGUACUGACUUGACGAGCCGCAACGGACAUCUCCAGUCAGAAAGUGGAGCUGUUCCGUAAAGAAAAGAUCCCUUAACACACACUAGUAAUCCACGGCCUCGUGCAAAAACAGUAAUGGAAACUGAAUCCAUGGGACUUCCAGGCCACCACAGAGCACCUAGUUGCAGUGGCUUAUCCCUGGUGUCUGGAGUGAGACAGGGACCUGGUCCUACAGCUGCCACUCAUAAGGGUACUCCACAAACAAACAGAACAAAUAAACCUACCCCUACAACUACUGCUCUUAAGAAGAAAGGUUUGCAGAAUUUCAGGAAUGCUAAUCUCAUCAUGAAUGAAAUUGUGAACAAUGGAACAGCAGUGAAAUCUGAUGACAUAGUUGGUCAAGAAUUGGCAAAACAAGCUUUGCCGGAAAUUGUUCUUCCUUCCCUGAGGCCUGAGUUGUUCACAGGGCUUAGAGCUCCUGCCAGAGGGUUGUUACUCUUUGGUCCACCUGGGAAUGGGAAGACGAUGGCUAAAGCAGUAGCUGCAGAAUCUAACGCAACCUUCUUUACUAUAAGUGCUGCACGUCUAACUUCAAAAUAUGUGGGAGAAGGAGAGAAAUUAGUGAGAGCUCUUUUUGCUGUGGCUCAAGAACUGCAACCUUCUAUAAUUUUUACAGACCAAGUUGAUAGCCUUUUGUGUGAAAGAAGAGAAGGGGAGCAAGAUGCUAGUAGAUGCCGCAAAACUGAGUUUCUCGUAGAGUUUGAUGGUGUACAGUCUGCUGGAGAUGACAGAGUAUUUAUGAUGAGUGCAACUAAGACCUUGACAAGGCUGUUCUCAGUCGUUUUAUCAAACGGGUAUAUGUGUCCUUACCAAACGAGAAGACAAGACUACUUUUACUGAAAAAUCUGUUAUGUAAACAAGGAAGCCCAUUGACCCAAAAAGAGCUAGCACAACUUGCUAGAAUGACUGAUGGAUACUCAGGAAGUGAUCUAACGGCACUGGCAAAAGAUGCAGCACCGGGUUCUAUUCGAGAAUUGAAACCAGAACAGGUGAAGACUGUGUCUGCCAGUGAGAUGAGAAAUAUUCGAUUGUCUGACUUCACUGAAUCCUUGAAAAAGAUAAAACGCAGCGUGAACCCUCCAACCUUAGAAGCAUACAUACAUCGGAACAAGGACUUUGGAGAUACCACUACUUAAAGAAAUACUUUUGUAAGCCUGAGGAACAAUUUACUUAACGAGAGAAAUACACGAUCUUCAGUGAACAGUUGUCAGUUACAGAAACUCAGCCUAAGUUUACAGAACUUUUCAAGAGUCUUACAUAUUUGCGCACCAAACUUGAAGAUGAACCAGAAAAUAAAUUUAAAUAAAAUAUACAAUGCAAAUGGAACAUUUUGUUGUUGAAGGCCUUCUUACCUCGACAGUCACAGUUAUCUCAAUGGGCACUGUAAGUUAGAGCACAACAAAAACCAAUUCUGGUCUUCUUCACCAAUAUAAUCAUAGUGUAAAUAAUAAUUUGUAUAUUGUGUUACAGACGAAAGUAUUUCAGAGACAGUGAAUGGUAGAAGACGCAAGAGCCUUUGGCUGUUUGUCUUCUGAUGUUUUUUCUUAAAAUAGUAAUUUUUCCUACUUUGCUUUCCUACUGUUGUCUUAACUAUGGGUGAUUGGAAUGCCAAACACUCUUAAGUUUCUUUGUUUUCAUUUACUUUUAUAAAUUCAGUGUGCCAAUGGAAACUUUUUCCUAAGUAAUUGCAAUAGGAAAAAAUUAUUUUGAGGGUUUUGUUUUCUUCAUAAAUCCACAGACCCUAGAAAUUGUUAUGUUCUUUUUACUUUUUAUUUUUCUAUUACCUUGCUACCAUACCAUUUAGAAGGCAAUAUAAUAGCAACAAAGCAAAUCUGGUAGAAUAGAGAAAGUUUGAAGGUUUGAGUUACCCUGCCAUAUAACAUGUAGAUCAGUCCUCACGUGACUUACAGUAUUUUUUAUCUAA